rnacentral:rRNA from 1 species
UACGGAGGGAGCUAGCGUUAUUCGGAAUCACUGGGCGUAAAGCGCACGCAGGCGGAUCGUUAAGUCAGGGGUGAAAUCCCGAGGCUCAACCUCGGAACUGCCUUUGAUACUGGCGAUCUUUGAGUCCGGGAGAGGUGAGUGGAACUCCGAGUGUAGAGGUGAAAUUCGUAGAUAUUCGGAAGAACACCAGUGGCGAAGGCGGCUCACUGGCCCGGUACUGACGCUCAGGUGCGAAAGCGUGGGGAGCAAACAGG